AGCAGCCGCGGUAAUUCCAGCUCCAAUAGCGUAUAUUAAAGUUGUUGCAGUUAAAAGCUCGUAGUUGAAUUUCGGGAUCAGUUGAUCGGUCGUGCCUCGGUACGUACUGGUCAAAUUGAUUCCUACCUUCUGACGAACCACGAUGUCAUUAAUUUGGUGUCGCGGGAAAUCAGGACUGUUACUUUGAAAAAAUUAGAGUGUUUAAAGCAGGCUCGCGCUUGAAUACAUUAGCAUGGAAUAAUGAAAUAGGACGUUUGAUUCUAUUUUGUUGGUUUCUAGGAUCGACGUAAUGAUUAAUAGGGAUAGUUGGGGGGCAUUAGUAUUCAAUUGUCAGAGGUGAAAUUCUUGGAUUUAUUGAAGACUAACUACUGCGAAAGCAUUUGCCAAGGAUGUUUUCAUUAAUCAAGAACGAAAGUUAGGGAUCGAAGACGAUCAGAUACCGUCAUAGUCUUAACCAUAAACUAUGCCGACUAGGGAUCGGAUGAUGUUAAUUUUUAAUGACUUCAUUCGGCCG
rnacentral:misc_RNA from 1 species